CACGCCGUAAACGAUGAAUACUAGGUGUAGGAGGUAUCGACUCCUUCUGUGCCAAAGCAAACGCAUUAAGUAUUCCACCUGGGGAGUACGACCGCAAGGUUAAAACUCAAAGGAAUUGACGGGGGCCCGCACAAGCAGUGGAGUAUGUGGUUUAAUUCGACGCAACGCGAAGAACCUUACCAGGGUUUGACAUCCUCUGACAGCUAUAGAGAUAUAGCAUUCUCUUCGGAGACAGAGAGACAGGUGG
rnacentral:rRNA from 1 species